rnacentral:rRNA from 1 species
CGGGGGGAGCAAGCGUUGUUCGGAUUUACUGGGCGUAAAGGGCGCGUAGGCGGCCACCGCAAGUCGACUGUGAAAUCUCCGGGCUUAACCCGGAACGGUCAGCCGAUACUGCGGGGCUAGAGUGCAGAAGGGGCAACUGGAAUUCUCGGUGUAGCGGUGAAAUGCGUAGAAAUCGAGAGGAACACCUGCGGCGAAGGCGGGUUGCUGGGCUGACACUGACGCUGAUGCGCGAAAGCUAGGGGAGCGAACGGGAUUAGAUACCCCGGUAGUCCUAGCCUUAAACGAUGAAUGCUUGGUGUCUGGGGUUCUAUAGUCCCCGGGUGCCAUCGCUAACGCUUUAAGCAUUCCGCCUGGGGAGUACGGUCGCAAGACUG